GACCGCGUAGCUCAGUUGGCAGAGCAUUGGGCUAGUAUUCCAAAGGUUGUAGGUUCGAUUCCCACCGUGGCCG
rnacentral:tRNA from 1 species